GCGUGGGUGACGGAAUAGGUAGACGUAGCGGGCUUAAAACCCGCCGCCUUCACGGGCGUACGGGUUCGAUUCCCGUCCCGCGCACCA
rnacentral:tRNA from 1 species